UAAAAUCCACCCCCUUCCCUUUCAUUCUCAUACUCUUUUAUUUCCCUUUUAACUUUCUCUUAAAAACAAAACCAACAAGAAAGAAUAAAGGGAAAUUAAAAGAAAUAAUGGCUAAUAUCAAGAUGACAACUAUACUUUUCGUUGCCAUAAUUUUCACUAUCUUUGCUUCAAGCAAAUUUGCAUGGGCACAUGAGGAAAUUCAUCCCCAUGUUCAACCCCAACCUCACCCCCACCCCCAACCCCAACCUCACCCCCACACCCAACCCCAACCCCAUCCACAACCCCAGGGUUCUGAAGGACCAGUAUAUGAAUAUGCAGGACAAAGGUUGAAGAUAGAACCAGGACAUGAAUUAUGUUAUCAAAAAUGUUAUCAAGGUAUUUUUGCUGGUGAAGGUAGUCCAUUAUAUGCAGAAAAAGAAUGCUACGAUAUGUGCCAUAACAAUGGUAAAUUUGUAUUUCCAAACUUUAGUCCUCCACCUUGCGCGAACAAGGUUUAAUCAACGUGUAUAGAAACAAUUACUCCCUCGAUCUAUUCUUUCACUUUAUAUCGCGGCAUUACUAUUUAGGGAGUCAAAAAAGACGUUCUUCUUUGACCACACUUUUAUGGAGGCAAGUAAUUUUUUUAAUUCCAUGCCAUAUUAAUUAACCAACAAAGAAUCUUUUUUAUAAUUAUGGCGUGACAUGUAUAGUCACACUCUAUAAAUAUAUAUAUUCUUUUGUGUUGGUGAUCAUUUGUAAUUGUAACAGAUAUGUCAUCAAUUUACUGAUUUGUGUUAUAUUAUUUUAUGUGGUUACAUACUUACAUUUGUUUAAUAAUGCGAAUUAAGUGUUGGGAACGUGCAAUCUAGGUGUGCAAUGGGUGUUUUUUUUUCUUUUUUUUGGGGGGAUUCUUAUUAAUGUCUUUGUUUUAGGAGAUCAAUUUUUAUGGCACAUUAAAAAUAUUAUUUUGGUUAUAUGACGGUGUUUACAGGAAAUUGAUAAAUCAAAUUGGCAAGGUCCAUGAGAAUGUCCAAAA
rnacentral:lncRNA from 1 species